CAGGAGGCUAGGACAAACUGCAUAUACCUAGCCUCCGACCAACAAAUGCUACAAGACCCAGUUUUGUUUCCGAUAUUCACAAGUCCAGUGAGAAGAUGGAUCUUCAUGUCACAAGUUCUCGAAGGCUAAGAGUAACAUCCUGGCUGCGCUCUGAACAUUUGAAGAGGUUCUGAGCUAGCGGUUGGUAACAUAACAACGAUCUGACACCACUGAAUUUAUGCUAAGGAGCAAUCCCGUCCUCGAGACGAUGUCUAAAAAUAAUACUAAUGAUCAGUUAAAUCUGGAAUCCAUAAUAAAAAACAGUGCUCAAAUAUCUUUGGAACUGAAGAAGAUGCAAGAGCUAACCCAGUUGCUGCUGUGUGAUCUUACUUUGCAUUUUAGUCAUCCUGUGGAAAAAGAAGUUUUAAAGAAAGUAGAAGAAAAAAACCCUCAUUUGAAGCGUUGAAAGUCCCAAAACAUUUAGAUUAUUAUCUCUUCCUUUGGACUGAUUUGUUAAAUUACAAUAUAUUUUAUUCACCAUGGAUAGUUAAAUGAAUAUGUUUGUACAUUUAGUGAAGCGUUCUAAAAGAGAACUGGCUAAGUAGUGUCUUACUCUGAAGGUUUUGAAGGCAUUGGUGAUUUAAUUAAAAUAUACAAAAGUGUCAACGUAA